UGAGGAAUAUUGGUCAAUGGGCGCAAGCCUGAACCAGCCAUCCCGCGUGCAGGAAGACGGCCCUAUGGGUUGUAAACUGCUUUUCCAGGGAGAGAAACUUACGCACGUGUUGCGUGACUGACGGUACCCUGGGAAUAAGCAUCGGCUAACUCCGUGCCAGCAGCCGCGGUAAUACGGAGGAUGCAAGCGUUAUCCGGAUUCAUUGGGUUUAAAGGGUGCGUAGGCGGGCUAUUAAGUCAGUGGUGAAAUCCUGCAGCUUAACUGCAGAACUGCCGUUGAUACUGAUAGUCUUGAGUUUGGUUAAGGUAGGCGGAAUGUGUAAUGUAGCGGUGAAAUGCUUAGAUAUUACACAGAACACCAAUUGCGUAGGCAGCUUACUGAGCCGACACUGACGCUGAGGCA
rnacentral:rRNA from 1 species